rnacentral:misc_RNA from 1 species
GAAAGGUGAUAAGUAAUGUGAAUUGCAGAAUUCAGUGAAUCAUCGAAUCUUUGAACGCACCUUGCGCUCCUUGGUAUUCCUUGGAGCAUGCCUGUUUGAGUAUCAUGAAAUCUUCAAAGUAAAUCUUUUGUUAACUCAAUUGGUUUCUACUUUGGUAUUGGAGGUCUUUGCAGCUUCACACCUGCUCCUCUUUGUUCAUUAGCUGGAUCUCAGUGUUAUGCUUGGUUCCACUCGGCGUGAUAAGUUAUCUAUCGCUGAGGACACUGUAAAAGGUGGCCAAGGUAAAUGCAGAUGAACCGCUUCUAAUAGUCCAUUGACUUGGACAAUACUUUUAUGAUCUGAUCUCAAAUCAGGUAGGACUACCCGCUGAACUUAAGC